rnacentral:tRNA from 1 species
AGGUUGUUAGUUUAAUAAAAACCCUUGAUUUCGGCUCAAAAGCUUGCAGUUAAAAUCUGUGCCCACCUA